rnacentral:rRNA from 1 species
UCAAGCGCGUAAGAGCAUUUGGUGGAUGCCUUGGCAUAAAGAGGCGACGAAGGACGUGACAGACUGCGAUAAGCUCGGACUUGCUGUCAAUAAGCUUAAUCCGAGAUCUCCGAAUGGGGAAACCCAAUAACUUAUAAGUGAAUUCAUAGCUUAUAAGGGCGAACCUAGGGAACUGAAACAUCUAAGUACCUAGAGGAAAAGAUAUUCCGUUAGUAGUGGCGAGCGAAAGCGGAUCAGGCCAGUGCUACUUUUUACUAAACCAGAACUGUAUGGAAAGGCAGGCCAUAGUGAGUGAUAGCCUCGUAUGGGUAGAUAGUAAAAAAUAGACAUGAGUAGGGCGGGACACGUGAAAUCCUGUCUGAAUAUAGGAAGACCACUUCCUAAGCCUAAAUACUACUUUAUGACCGAUAGUGAACCAGUACCGUGAGGGAAAGGCGAAAAGAACCCCUAGCAGGGGAGUGAAAUAGACCCUGAAACCGGAUGCUUACAAGCAGUUGGAGCCUCUUUAUGAGGUGACAGCGUACCUUUUGUAUAAUGGGUCAGCGACUUAAUCUCAUUAGCAAGCUUAAGCCAUAUAGGUGUAGGCGAAGCGAAAGCGAGUCUGAAUAGGGCGAUUUAGUUAAUGGGAUUAGACUCGAAACCGGGUGAUCUAGUCAUGAGCAGGUUGAAAGUGAAGUAAAAUUCACCGGAGGACCGAACCCACUAGCGUUGAAAAGCUACGGGAUGACUUGUGAUUAGGGGUGAAAGGCCAACCAAACUCGGAAAUAGCUAGUUCUCCGCGAAAACUAUUUAGGUAGUGCGUCGUGUGAAUCUUAUUGGGGGUAGAGCACUGAAUGGGCUAGGGGGAAGCAAUUCCUACCAAACCUAAUCAAACUCCGAAUACCAGUAAGUCUGCACGGCAGACAGUCCAUGGGUGCUAAGGUCCUUGGACGAGAGGGAAACAGCCCAGAUCAACAGCUAAGGUCCCCAAAUAAUGAUUAAGUGUGAAAGGGAGUGGGAACUCCAAGACAGCCAGGAGGUUGGCUUAGAAGCAGCCAUCCUUUAAAGAAAGCGUAACAGCUCACUGGUCUAAUUAAGAGAUCCUGCACCGAAAAUGUAACGGGGCUCAAAUCAUUUACCGAAGCUUUGACAAUUACUUUUAGUAAUUGGGUAGCGGAGCGUUCUGUAAGCCUGUAAAGGUGAUGCGUAAGCAUUGCUGGAGGUAUCAGAAGUGCGAAUGCUGACAUGAGUAACGAUAAGAAAUGUGAAAGACAUUUCCGCCGAAAUCCUAAGGUUUCCUGCGUAAAGCUAAUCUGCGCAGGGUUAGUCGGCCCCUAAGGCGAGGGCGAAAGCCGUAGUCGAUGGGAAGCAGGUUAAUAUUCCUGCACCAGCUGGUAGUGACGGAUGAAGUAAAUUGUGAGUUCUUACUGGAUUGAACUUGCAGUGAAUUUGUCCCUGGAAAUAGCUCCAGCAUUAGACCGUACCAAAACCGACACAGGUAGGAGGGUAGAGAAUACCAAGGCGCUUGAGAGAACUAUGUUGAAGGAACUCGGCAAAUUACACUUGUAACUUCGGGAUAAAAGUGACCUGCUAUUGGGCAACCAGUAGGAGGUGGCACAGAAGAGGGGGUAGCGACUGUUUACUAAAAACAUAGCACUAUGCAAAGUCGAAAGACGACGUAUAUGGUGUGACGCCUGCCCGGUGCCGGAAGGUUAAUAGGAGGGGUGCAAGCCCUGAAUUGAAGCCCCGGUGAACGGCGGCCGUAACUAUAACGGUCCUAAGGUAGCGAAAUUCCUUGUCGGGUAAGUUCCGACC